AUUGAACGCUGGCGGCAUGCCUUACACAUGCAAGUCGAACGGCAGCACGGUGCAACCUGGUGGCGAGUGGCGAACGGGUGAGUAAUGCAUCGGAACGUACCUUUCAGUGGGGGGUAACGUAGCGAAAGUUACGCUAAUACCGCAUAUUCUGUGAGCAGGAAAGCAGGGGAUCGCAAGACCUUGCGCUGAUUGAGCGGCCGAUGUCAGAUUAGCUAGUUGGUGAGGUAAAGGCUCACCAAGGCGACGAUCUGUAGCGGGUCUGAGAGGAUGAUCCGCCACACUGGAACUGAGACACGGUCCAGACUCCUACGGGAGGCAGCAGUGGGGAAUUUUGGACAAUGGGGGCAACCCUGAUCCAGCCAUGCCGCGUGAGUGAAGAAGGCCUUCGGGUUGUAAAGCUCUUUCGGCCGGGAAGAAAUCGCACGGGCUAAUACCCUGUGUGGAUGACGGUACCGGGAUAAGAAGCACCGGCUAACUACGUGCCAGCCGCCGCAGUAAAAC
rnacentral:rRNA from 1 species